AAAGCGCGAUAGGUAAUGCGAAUUGCAGACGUGAGUCAUUGAAUCUUUGAACGCACAUUGCGCCAGUUUACUGGCAUACUGCGUUGAGCGUCGGCCUUCCUCCACAGGUAGUGCUGCUUCUAGCAGUGAAAUAAAUGGAAACGCACCCGUUAGCUAAUAGGUGCUUUUUUUGUUUUUCGACCUCAGCGUAGUAAGAUCACCCGCUGAACUUAA
rnacentral:misc_RNA from 1 species